rnacentral:rRNA from 1 species
UACGGGGGGGGCAAGCGUUGUUCGGAAUUACUGGGCGUAAAGGGCUCGUAGGCGGCCAACUAAGUCGGACGUGAAAUCCCUCGGCUUAACCGGGGAACUGCGUCCGAUACUGGAUGGCUGGAGGUUGGGAGAGGGAUGCGGAAUUCCAGGUGUAGCGGUGAAAUGCGUAGAUAUCAGGAGGAACACCGGUGGCGAAGGCGGGUCUCUGGGCCGAUACUGACGCUGAGGAGCGAAAGCGUGGGGAGCGAACAGG